GCCCUCGAUCGGCGCACGCGCGAACUGUCGGUCCCCGCCCGCGCCGAGUGCGCGGGGUCGGCCCCGGAACCUUUGCUGUUCCCCGCGGGGCGCACGGAGGGUUUGUCGCCGGGCGCGCGUGGGCUCGGCAGAACUCUGCCCGCCGGAGCCGCUCUCCCCGCACCGCGAGGAAGAGCAGGUUGUUCCUGUGUUGUGCAGAGCCCUUGUUGGAGUGCUGGUGUCUGUUUCUGGCAGCAAUGACAAGGCCGAGUGCAGGAACAAGGAGGUGCUCUGGUACAAACCACUUGUCUGAAGGAAACAAUGUCUUUUAGGACUGUCCUGGUAUCUGAGGCACCUGCUGUUUAGAUCUGCAGCAGACCUGCUGAUAACUCUCAUUAUUCUGUGAUAAAUGAUACUCGGAUGUUCUGCAGCAGCAGGAAAUUCAGUGUGUGGGUACCCAUUAAAGGGUACAAGUGAAUUCACAGUGCAAGUGAAUGGAUCCAACAGCCAGGGCAGCUUGAUAAGUGAUGCUGUAACAAUUGUCAGGCCUCCAGGAGUACUGUAAUUAAAGUCAACAUUAUUUAUGUGACAAGUUGAAUUCCUCCUGUUGAAGGAAUUCUACGAUAAAAUGACAUUGAAAUUCCUGGUGAAAACCUACAGGAGACAUUUGAAAAAUCACACUGUGAAUUUUCUCUUUCGAACCAUUUUCCAGAUAUAUUUGAAGCAUCUGGAUUAUGGAAGUUAGCCUGGUCAUCAUAAAUCCCUUGAGUAAAGGGACAGGGUUUGAAGGUUUGAGCCACUUUGCACAGCUGAGGAAGCUUUGAAGUUCUUCUGCUUGCAAUGAACUCUGUGUUCCUCCAGCAAAGUUCUGUCACCCUCUUACAUUUUCGUCACCUUUCCAUCUUAGGGGAAAAAAAAAUCUUAAGUGGGGGAAAAUGAAAGUUCUUUUAAGAUCUUGCUGAGGCUGAAAUGUAGAGGGAAUCAAAUCACUGCUUUGUUCCUGUCUUUAGCUGGGGACAAAACCAGAGAUGAUCUUUCUUAAACAUGAUAGCCAUAAAAGUGCUUUUGCUUUCUUUGCUGGUUCUACUUACAGUUAAAAAUUACUCUGUGGGAUUUUUCUCUGUAGUUUUGAAAAGGUCUGAAGUUGAAUUUUAAAAAUCUGAAAUUUUGUAUCUGAAUUCUUGAAACCCUUUGCAUAAUUAAAAUAUUUUUCCUUCAUAUAGCUUGUUUCCACCCAAACAUUAGCUUGGCUACCAUGUAAAAGGGGAUAUUCUUGUGCUGUAAGAUGUGGAAAAUGUAAAUACCUGCCAAAUUCUGAGACAAUGAGACACAAAGGCCACUGAGAAUGAAGAGAGAAAAGGAGAGAGAAAUGGAAGAUACGGCAGUUUAUUUUUUUUAGUAAUGAUACUUGCCAAAUAUACCUUAAUGUCUGAGAUUUCUGAUGUUUGUUGGCUUUUUUACUGUCAUCAGGUGAGUGAAUAUGACCUUUAUGCAAAAUAAGCGAAGUACAAUUUUUUUCAAACUAAAAAUAACCUCUUAAUUUUCAACUUGUGUUAAAGAAACCUUUUUCCAGAGUUCUCUGCUGUCUUGCCAUAUAAUUGAAGUGAAGGAAUGAAAAGAUACUCAAAUAUGUCAGUCAUGCCAAAGCCAAGGAAAUCAAGAUUUGGCCUUUUGCCUGCAUUUUAUAGAAAAACUGUCACAACUGUCUCCCAAAUAACUUUGAUAGAAGAAAAAAGAAAACUGGACUUCAGUUCAGUUUGUGUUCCUCUCAGGAGGUGUCUUUGCUGACACCGUCCCUGCUCUUCUGCACUCACAGGGAGCACUGGGACUUUGUUUUUCAUGGUGAUUUGCUCCCUUCUAGCCCAGUCUGCAGCCACUUGGGAUUUCUGUGUAAUCAGAAGUUCUGCUCAGCUUUACUGAACAAGUGAGAAGCAGAACUGGCACACAAACUCUCCGUAGUCUGUAGUGUAUUAAUGAGUAAAAUUCUCCCAGUUUUAAGCAGAGAGUUGUGCUAUUUAUCACAGCAAAUAAAGUAAGGAAGAAUUAGUAAAAA